AAUUUUACGAAAAGUCGGGCAAUUUUCUUUCCGCCCCCCUUUUCCUUCCGGUACGCUUCCUGUAUUAUUAAGCAUGCAUGUUUUUUUUUUAGUUUUGACCAUGGGCGUACCGGAAGGAAAAAAUUAGGGGGGCGGAAAGAAAAUUGCCCGACUUUUCGGGAUU